ensembl:lncRNA
UGUGAUUGUGAGGAGUAUGAUGACAUCUGAACCGAUAAAACAUUCAUCCCAAGGAUAAGAAUUUGUUACUAAGGCAAGUACUACAUGAUUUAGAGGACCGGAGAGGAAGAAUUUGAAGAAAAUACAUAAAAACAAGCAACUCUCAUGUUUCUUUGGAAUCCACCACGAGUUUAUUUCAGUUGAUGAGUUCCACUCUUGAUAAAAGUGAGAGAAUGUGAUCAGCUGUUUCCAAUUCAGCUUCUCUGAGGGACAGUUGUACACACCUCUACCAGAUCUUUCCCAGGAUGAAGACUCUACAUUCCUCAUUUCUUUGGGGCUUCCCGGCAGAAACAAAUACACAGGCCUCACAAAACUUGAAACAGAAGUAAUAAAGCACCAAAGAAGAGAUGUGAAAUUCUCCAUUUCAAAAUAAAAUCUUGCUGCUUUUGGCAGCUACUUCCCAGGACAUCCUGUUUUGAUUUUUCCAUUUCAUCUAUUCUUCACCUCUCCUCAAGUCUGGUCUGAAGCAUCUUCAUUCUUCCUUGCCUUGCUGUACUCAGCUCUCUCACUCUCUCACUGAUUUAUGUUCAAUUCUAACUGAAAAUGCUCCGCCACUGUUUUUCAAGCACUUUCAGUGAAGAGCUUAACACAGAAGCAACAUGGAAGUGUUUUCUUUUUUCUUAAUUUCAGUAAAUAAAUAAAUACGUAAAUGGGGAAAUUUCAGCCAGUAAAGGAGGUUUUUGAAUAGUUGGUAGUAUUCCGAAAGCAAUAACACUGAGGUAUCUCCUUCACAUAGACACAUGAGUACCG